rnacentral:rRNA from 1 species
UACGUAGGGUGCGAGCGUUAAUCGGAAUUACUGGGCGUAAAGCGUGCGCAGGCGGUUUUGUAAGCCAGAUGUGAAAUCCCCGGGCUUAACCUGGGAAUGGCAUUUGGGACUGCAAGGCUGGAGUUUGGCAGAGGAGACUGGAAUUCCUGGUGUAGCAGUGAAAUGCGUAGAUAUCAGGAGGAACACCGAUGGCGAAGGCAGGUCUCUGGGCUGAAACUGACGCUCAUGCACGAAAGCGUGGGGAGCGAACAGG